rnacentral:rRNA from 1 species
CAGUCGCCGCGGUAAUACGAAGGGGGCUAGCGUUGCUCGGAAUGACUGGGCGUAAAGGGCGCGUAGGCGGCGAUCAAAGUCAAGCGUGAAAUUCCUGGGCUCAACCUGGGGGCUGCGUUUGAUACUUGGUUGCUAGAGUGAGGAAGAGGGUCGUGGAAUUCCCAGUGUAGAGGUGAAAUUCGUAGAUAUUGGGAAGAACACCGGUGGCGAAGGCGGCGACCUGGUCCUUGACUGACGCUGAGGCGCGAAAGCGUGGGGAGCAAACAGGAUUAGAUACCCCCGUAGUCCCUGUCUCUUAUAC